rnacentral:rRNA from 1 species
CCUACGGGAGGCAGCAGUAGGGAAUCUUCCACAAUGGGCGAAAGCCUGAUGGAGCAACGCCGCGUGGGUGAAGAAGGUCUUCGGAUCGUAAAACCCUGUUGUUAGAGAAGAAAGUGCGUGAGAGUAACUGUUCACGUUUCGACGGUAUCUAACCAGAAAGCCACGGCUAACUACUUGCCAGCAGCCGCGGUAAUACGUAGGUGGCAAGCGUUAUCCGGAUUUAUUGGGCGUAAAGGGAACGCAGGCGGUCUUUUAAGUCUGAUGUGAAAGCCUUCGGCUUAACCGGAGUAGUGCAUUGGAAACUGGGAGACUGGAGUGCAGAAGAGGAGAGUGGAACUCCAUGGGUAGCGGUGAAAUGCGUAGAUAUAUGGAAGAACACCAGUGGCGAAAGCGGCUCUCUGGUCUGUAACUGACGCUGAGGUUCGAAAGCGUGGGUAGCAAACAGGAUUAGAUACCCUUGUAGUC